AUACGGAGGGUGCGAGCGUUAAUCGGAAUUACUGGGCGUAAAGGGUGCGUAGGCGGCUUGAUAAGUCGGAUGUGAAAGCCCCGGGCUUAACCUGGGAAUUGCAUUCGAUACUGUCAGGCUAGAGUAUGUCAGAGGUUGGCGGAAUUCCUGGUGUAGCGGUGAAAUGCGUAGAUAUCAGGAGGAACACCAGUGGCGAAGGCGGCUAACUGGGGCAAUACUGACGCUGAGGCACGAAAGCGUGGGGAGCAAACAGAAUUAGAUACCCUAGUAGUCC
rnacentral:rRNA from 1 species